UGGGUAACCUGCCCUUCACUCUGGGAUAACUCCGGGGAAACCGGGGCUAAUACUGGAUAUGACUCGAACAGGCAUCUGUUUCGGGUGGAAAGAUUUAUUGGUGGAGGAUGGACUCGCGGCCUAUCAGCUUGUUGGUGAGGUAAUGGCUCACCAAGGCGACGACGGGUAGCCGGCCUGAGAGGGCGAUCGGCCACACUGGGACUGAGACACGGCCCAGACCUCCUACGGGAGCA
rnacentral:rRNA from 1 species